rnacentral:rRNA from 1 species
GACGAACGCUGGCGGCGUGCUUAACACAUGCAAGUCGAACGGUGAAGCGCCUUCCUUUUUGGUGGGUGUGGAUGAGUGGCGAACGGGUGAGUAACACGUGAGUAACCUGCCCCCUUCUUCUGGAUAACCGCAUGAAAGUGUGGCUAAUACGGGAUAUUCUGGGUCUGUCGCAUGAUGGGUCUGGGAAAGAUAUUGUUUCGGUGGGGGAUGGGCUCGCGGCCUAUCAGCUUGUUGGUGGGGUGAUGGCCUACCAAGGCGGUGACGGGUAGCCGGCCUGAGAGGGUGGACGGUCACACUGGGACUGAGACACGGCCCAGACUCCUACGGGAGGCAGCAGGGGAGAAUAUUGCACAAUGGGCGCAAGCCUGAUGCAGCGACGCCGCGUGAGGGAUGGAGGCCUUCGGGUUGUGAACCUCUUUCGCCAGUGAAGCAGGCCUGCCUCGUUUGUGGGUGGGUUGACGGUAGCUGGAUAAGAAGCGCCGGCUAACUACGUG